rnacentral:rRNA from 1 species
AGCCUGAUGCAGCCUGCCGCGUGUGUGAAGAAGGCUUCGGGUUGUAAAGCACUCAGGGGGAAGGCGUGGUGGUUAAUACCCACCACGUUUGAGUUAGCUGCAGAAGAAGCACCGGCUAACUCCGUGCCAGCAGCCGCGGUAAUACGGAGGGUGCGAGCGUUAAUCGGAAUUACUGGGCGUAAAGCGCAUGCAGGCGGUUUGUUAAGCAAGAUGUGAAAGCCCCGGGCUCAACCUGGGAACCGCAUUUUGAACUGGCAGGCUAGAGUCUUGUAGAGGGGGGUAGAAUUUCAGGUGUAGCGGUGAAAUGCGUAGAGAUCUGAAGGAAUACCGGUGGCGAAGGCGGCCCCCUGGACAAAGACUGACGCUCAGAUGCGAAAGCGUGGGGAGCAAACAGGAUUAGAUCUGGUAGUCCACGCUGUAAACGAUGUCCUUGUUGCGGUCUUGAACUGUGGCUUCGGAGCUAACGCGUUAAGUAGACCGCCUG